rnacentral:rRNA from 1 species
UACGUAGGCAGCGAGCGUUGUUCGGAAUUACUGGGCGUAAAGAGUGUGUAGGCGGUGCUCCCAGUCUGUUGUGAAAUCUCCCGGCUUAACUGGGAGGGUGCAGCGGAAACUAGAGUGCUAGAGGGUGGGAGAGGUAAGCGGAAUUCCUGGUGUAGCGGUGAAAUGCGUAGAUAUCAGGAGGAACACCGGUGGCGAAGGCGGAUCUCUGGGCCGAUACUGACGCUGAGGAGCGAAAGCGUGGGGAGCGAACAGG